ensembl:lncRNA
UUUUCACCAGGCUCCUGGUGAAAUGGCACACUGUCUGUGACACUCCUGGUACACUAAGUUUGUGCCACUGAUCUCACAGCAAAGGUGGCCAAAGGACACAGCAGCCCAAGCCUACAAAGGAUUUGUACAGGCCCCCAGAUGGAUGUUUUAAAAACACCAGCCAGCGCUGGGGCUGAGAGAAACAGCACUGCAGCUCAGUCCGGCCUAGACAGGAUGUAGAAGACCUGCAUUGCUGGUGGCCUGUGUGAUCUGAGGAACAAACAUGGUGUGGGUGACACAAAGACAUAAGAAACAGUCCUGCAGCAUGGCUCCUGUUCCUUGGUCUGGAGACUACCCAAGGAAGUCACAGGAGUCAAUAGAGGCAGCUGUGCAGUGCACAAAGAGCAGCACCACUGCGGAAGGAGGGAUUCAGUCCAGGCAAGGAAGAGUUCAAAGUAAAGAGAUUCUCCAGAUGGUUGUGCUCGCUUGCUUGACAAGUGGGGCUGAGCAAAGCUUAAUAGCUACCAACACCAAGGAGGAAUUUUGUUUCCCAAAAUGCCAAUUCCAAGGAAAGAGAAAAAUAAAUAACACUGAAUGUCACUGUGUGAGAUCAUCUGGCAGAUGA